rnacentral:lncRNA from 1 species
CAUUACCAUAAGAGAAAAUAUCUUGUUAUGGUCGAUACCAUAAUGCUGUCAAUAUCCUUAGGCAAUCAGAUGAGUAUUUUAAGUCUCCACCUUCUCGUCUGUGCUACUCUGAUCCUGUUGAAGAUCUACUUACACUCUAUGAGCUUUACCCUUCAAGUGAAUCAACGAGCGUCCAUACACCGUUGACCUUCAUAGACUUCAUUUCGGAUCUAUGGCUCCAAGCCAUUAUUCAGAGUUGAACCUCUGUAUGGCAUCCAUGUAGAUGAUCAGAUCCUUGUUGUUCUCAUCAAGUUCAACAAGUUUACAUUCCAGACCUA